rnacentral:rRNA from 1 species
AGAGUUUGAUCCUGGCUCAGAACGAACGCUGGCGGCAGGCCUAACACAUGCAAGUCGAGCGCCCAGCAAUGGGAGCGGCGGACGGGUGAGUAACACGUGGGAAUUUUCCUCAAGGUACGGAACAACUCAGGGAAACUUGGGCUAAUACCGUAUGAUGCAGAGAUGCCAAAGAUUUAUCGCCUUGGGAUAAGCCCGCGUCAGAUUAGGUAGUUGGUGGGGUAAUGGCCUACCAAGCCUGUGAUCUGUAGCUGGUCUGAGAGGACGAUCAGCCACAUUGGGACUGAGACACGGCCCAAACUCCUACGGGAGGCAGCAGUGGGGAAUCUUGCGCAAUGGGCGAAAGCCUGACGCAGCCAUGCCGCGUGAAUGAUGAAGGUCUUAGGAUUGUAAAGUUCUUUCGCCCGUGACGAUGAUGACGGUAACGGGAGAAGAAGCCCCGGCUAACUUCGUGCCAGCAGCCGCGGUAAUACGAAGGGGGCUAGCGUUGUUCGGAAUUACUGGGCGUAAAGCGCGCGUAGGCGGUUAUGCAAGCCGGAGGUGAAAUGCCCGAGCUCAACUUGGGAAUUGCCUUUGGGACUGUGAGGCUUCGAGGACGGAAGAGGUGAGUGGAAUUCCCAGUGUAGAGGUGAAAUUCGUAGAUAUUGGGAAGAACACCGGUGGCGAAGGCGGCUCACUGGUCCGUUUCUGACGCUAAAGCGCGAAAGCGUGGGGAUCAAACAGGAUUAGAUACCCUGGUAGUCCACGCUGUAAACGAUGAGUGCUAGGCGUCGGCAGGCUUGCCUGUCGGUGCCGCAGCUAAC